CACACACACAGACAACACUGUCACACACACAGAGACACCACUGUCACACACACACACACACACAACACUGUCACACACACAGAGACAACACUGUCACACACACAGAGACAACACUGUCACACACACACAGAGACAACACUGUCACACACACAGAGACAACACUGUCACACACACAGAGACAACACUGUCACACACACAGAGACAACACUGUCACACACACACACACACCACUACAACACUGUCACACACACAGAGACAACACUGUCACACACACACAGACACACACACACACAGACACCACUGUCACACACACACACACACACACACACACAGAGACAACACUGUCACACACACACACACACACACAGAGACAACACUGUCACACACACACACACACACAGACAACACUGUCACACACACACACA
ensembl:lncRNA